AACGGCCGUACCAUGCUGAAUAUACCGGUUCUCGUUCGAUCACCGAAGUCAAGCAUCAUUGGGCGCGGUCAGUACUUGGGUGGGUGACCACCUGGAAACACCGCGUGCCGUU
rnacentral:rRNA from 1 species